UUUUCACGAUUUUUUAUUAUGCAUUGUCAUAAUAGUGAUUACCCUCAUUAUCGUUAUUACUAUUAAUUAAGCAAAACCUCCCCAUCCAUUCAUCCACCCACUUACCCAUCCACACAUUGUCCCACCCACCAAUCAUCCACACCCCCUACGCCCACUCACUCACCCUCGCUCUCUUCCAACAGCGAUUCCUCGUGAUGUUGGCAGUCAUCCUCCUGGUGGCAGUGGCCCAGAGCAGCGCGGGUAUGAUGGGCUACGGAGGAGGAAAAGGAGGCGGAUAUGGCGGUGGAUAUGGAGACAGCGGCCCGCAGAUCGUGUAUUUGCCCGUGAACUGUGGGCCCUAUAAUGCAGGCGGCGGGAUGGUGUCCCAUGGAGGCGGAUACGGCAUGCCCAUGGGAGGAUAUGGUCGGUAAAACCUGCGCUCAACGGCCUUCGCGCCCCGCCUACCUCGCCACCAAAGGGCGCGACUUCGUUUCAAAUGUUAUUGUUGAUUGAUUUUGUUGUUGUUGUUGACUUUUUAAUAAAUAGAUAGAGACAAAAA